CCUCCUUCCCCAUGAGGGGAUUUGGAUGUGCAGAAGGGAAUGGAACUGCAGUCAGGUCAACCCUCAGCCACUCUGGAAGGACUGCAGUUAAAUCAUGAAGACAAUCCUCCUUCGAUUUGUAUAUAUGUGACCAGAGGACCAACGCCAUGCUUUCUAAAAGGCCUGGAGAUCAGACAACAGUCAUCGCUCCUCCUUCUCUUUGUGUUGGUCAUUUUGGCAAAUUACUGGAAGACAGCAGUUCCAACAGAAAAAAAGUGUAUUUAAGAUAGAAGAAUCAAUUGAUAAUUAAGCUUAGGGGAGCUCAAUAAAGUCAACCUCACUAGAAGGAUGAUUUGGGAUAGAUCAUUGUGGAAGAUGAAGGCAGAUAAAAACCAUUAAGAAGGACAAAGAGGUAAGAAGUGGAAAAAGCCUGGGAACUGAGUGUCAAACCUUAUCUUCAGUGGUGGUUUUGUCACUAACAAGCCAAAUAAAUGACCUUAGG
rnacentral:lncRNA from 1 species